AGAGUUUGAUCCUGGCUCAGAUUGAACGCUGGCGGAAUGCUUUACACAUGCAAGUCGAACGGCAGCACGGGUGCUUGCACCUGGUGGCGAGUGGCGAACGGGUGAGUAAUGCGUCGGAACGUACCGAGUAAUGGGGGAUAACGCAGCGAAAGUUGUGCUAAUACCGCAUACGCCCUGAGGGGGAAAGUGGGGGAUCGUAAGACCUCACGUUAUUCGAGCGGCCGACGUCUGAUUAGCUAGUUGGUGAGGUAAUGGCUCACCAAGGCGACGAUCAGUAGCGGGUCUGAGAGGAUGAUCCGCCACACUGGGACUGAGACACGGCCCAGACUCCUACGGGAGGCAGCAGUGGGGAAUUUUGGACAAUGGGGGCAACCCUGAUCCAGCCAUUCCGCGUGAGUGAAGAAGGCCUUCGGGUUGUAAAGCUCUUUCAGCAGGAACGAAACGGUACGCUCUAACAUAGUGUGCUAAUGACGGUACCUGCAGAAGAAGCACCGGCUAACUACGUGCCAGCAGCCGCGGUAAUACGUAGGGUGCGAGCGUUAAUCGGAAUUACUGGGCGUAAAGCGUGCGCAGGCGGAUUGUUAAGCAAGAUGUGAAAUCCCCGGGCUUAACCUGGGAAUGGCAUUUUGAACUGGCAGUCUAGAGUGUGUCAGAGGGGGGUGGAAUUCCACGUGUAGCAGUGAAAUGCGUAGAGAUGUGGAGGAACACCGAUGGCGAAGGCAGCCCCCUGGGAUAACACUGACGCUCAUGUACGAAAGCGUGGGU
rnacentral:rRNA from 1 species